rnacentral:tRNA from 1 species
GCGCCCAUAGCUCAACAGGAUAGAGCAACACCCUUCUAAGGUGAAGGUUGGGGGUUCGAGUCCCUCUGGGCGCACCA